AAAUUGAAGAGUUUGAUCAUGGCUCAGAUUGAACGCUGGCGGCAGGCCUAACACAUGCAAGUCGAACGGUAACAGGAAGCAGCUUGCUGCUUUGCUGACGAGUGGCGGACGGGUGAGUAAUGUCUGGGAAACUGCCUGAUGGAGGGGGAUAACUACUGGAAACGGUGGCUAAUACCGCAUAACGUCGCAAGACCAAAGAGGGGGACCUUCGGGCCUCUUGCCAUCAGAUGUGCCCAGAUGGGAUUAGCUUGUUGGUGAGGUAACGGCUCACCAAGGCGACGAUCCCUAGCUGGUCUGAGAGGAUGACCAGCCACACUGGAACUGAGACACGGUCCAGACUCCUACGGGAGGCAGCAGUGGGGAAUAUUGCACAAUGGGCGCAAGCCUGAUGCAGCCAUGCCGCGUGUAUGAAGAAGGCCUUCGGGUUGUAAAGUACUUUCAGCGGGGAGGAAGGUGUUGUGGUUAAUAACCGCAGCAAUUGACGUUACCCGCAGAAGAAGCACCGGCUAACUCCGUGCCAGCAGCCGCGGUAAUACGGAGGGUGCAAGCGUUAAUCGGAAUUACUGGGCGUAAAGCGCACGCAGGCGGUCUGUCAAGUCGGAUGUGAAAUCCCCGGGCUCAACCUGGGAACUGCAUUCGAAACUGGCAGGCUUGAGUCUUGUAGAGGGGGGUAGAAUUCCAGGUGUAGCGGUGAAAUGCGUAGAGAUCUGGAGGAAUACCGGUGGCGAAGGCGGCCCCCUGGACAAAGACUGACGCUCAGGUGCGAAAGCGUGGGGAGCAAACAGGAUUAGAUACCCUGGUAGUCCACGCCGUAAACGAUGUCUACUUGGAGGUUGUGCCCUUGAGGCGUGGCUUCCGGAGCUAACGCGUUAAGUAGACCGCCUGGGGAGUACGGCCGCAAGGUUAAAACUCAAAUGAAUUGACGGGGGCCCGCACAAGCGGUGGAGCAUGUGGUUUAAUUCGAUGCAACGCGAAGAACCUUACCUGGUCUUGACAUCCACAGAACUUUCCAGAGAUGGAUUGGUGCCUUCGGGAACUGUGAGACAGGUGCUGCAUGGCUGUCGUCAGCUCGUGUUGUGAAAUGUUGGGUUAAGUCCCGCAACGAGCGCAACCCUUAUCCUUUGUUGCCAGCGGUCCGGCCGGGAACUCAAAGGAGACUGCCAGUGAUAAACUGGAGGAAGGUGGGGAUGACGUCAAGUCAUCAUGGCCCUUACGACCAGGGCUACACACGUGCUACAAUGGCGCAUACAAAGAGAAGCGACCUCGYGAGAGCAAGCGGACCUCAUAAAGUGCGUCGUAGUCCGGAUUGGAGUCUGCAACUCGACUCCAUGAAGUCGGAAUCGCUAGUAAUCGUGGAUCAGAAUGCCACGGUGAAUACGUUCCCGGGCCUUGUACACACCGCCCGUCACACCAUGGGAGUGGGUUGCAAAAGAAGUAGGUAGCUUAACCUUCGGGG
rnacentral:rRNA from 1 species